AACGUGACCUGACCUAGAAAAGGUUUGCUUGGCUUGAUCUUGGGUCGCUCCUGUUUUGUUGCUUGGUAUGAUGGGUUUCCGCUUUGGCCGGUUUCCAAGCUUGGAUCUUUCUUAUGGGUUUCCGGUUUCGUGAAAGAAAUGGAAGGUUGAUUGGACCUGAUGAUGAAAUAGCACAAGAUGGUGCACCAAAGGAUUUGUUUUCCGAUUUGGUUCUGCUACUUUCCUAAAAGUUUCUUUCUCGCUAGGGACCUGUGGACUGGACUAUUUUGAUGUUAUGAAAAUGGAUCAGGCCUCUAACAAUGAGAUCUUUUUUUGCUUGCACCAGAAAAAGAAGCCAGCAAAUGAUCUGCGAAAUGAACUCGCUUCGUCCUUCUCUGCUUCUCUAUAAUAAGAAAUCUCUUUCUUUACUUCAACCUUAGCUUAAAUCUUCAGCUGCUAGGCCAGAAAUCACACACAAAAAAGAAAACUUUUUUUUUUCCCCCCCGUUCCUUGUGCUUUUCACCAGCUCUACUCGACGGAGAUUUACAUGUGGAUCUUUCUGGGAAAGAGCAAUUUAAGAUGUUAUAGUCGAUGUUGUUCUUAUGGCUAUGGUUUAAGUUAAGAGAAACGUUUAGCCGAAAAGAAAGUCCAGGUUUUCUCUUUGGAUUUUCUACGUAUUACCCUUCCACAUGUUUAGGGUUUCCUUCCGUGUUGUUUGAUUCUGAUUCAAGACUAUUCAAGUACAGAUCGGUAGUUAAGGUUCCAUCGCAUCGUCACUGUAGUGAAGAAUUUAGGGUUUUGGCUCUUCCUACAAAGAAACCGCCUCAUCUAUCAUUCUGCUGAAGAAGUCAUGGCUUUUGAGAUCCGUGCUGCAAGCCAUCCGCACAUUCACAUCUCUAUGCCCUUACAGCUCUUCUGGAAAUCGUCUCUCUUUUUUCUGGUCCUUUGCUGUCUAGAUUUCAGCGUUUGGAACCAGGCAGCAGUAACCCUUUGGUAAAAGCUUGUGCUUUCGAAUUGUAUGCAUGGCUUUACCGCAGAAUUUCUUUUCCUGAUUUGAUUGCUACUUUUCGCAGCAUUUAUUACUGUAUUCUUAUUUCAAGGUUGUGUUUUGUAAUUCGAAAUUUCGGAAGCCAUAUUAUAUGUUAGCCAGUUUUGAGAAUUUUGAUGAAUAAAAUAAACUAUCUACAUCAACUUAUAAUUUUUUUCCCCAAAAGUUAAAAUCUUUAACGCAACAACAAUUAUACACAGCUUUUCUCGAUUUUUGGGAAGUAAUUCACUGUAGGACUUCCAAAUGAUGCUUCAUUCUAUCUCCUGUUCAUCAUCUUGGAUUUCAGCCAAUAUAGUAGUAUCUCAAAAAGAACAAAAAGAAAAACUUCUUUGAGAAUGAAAAUUUUAUCCAAUAAAAUCUUGAGUUUCAUGUAAAUUUUCAUCAUACAAAUGGAUACCGCCUUGUUUUUCUUGUCUUCUUGUAGUUUUUCAAAUAUGAUGCACUUGGCAAUCCGUUUCCUCACCUUUUUUAUAAUCAGAGAACUAAUUUGAAGUUACUGCUUAUCCUCAAUAGUAAGUAACUCAAACACCAUCUAAAAGUUAGGUUGAGAUCCUGUUCAUAGUUUCUAAUGGCCUCAAAGUGUUCUGUGACUAUGCCAGGAUCACUAGAUUAAAUUGUAGUGCAAUAAUAGGCCUAGAUGAGGAACUGGGAGAAAGAUAUAUAUUCUCAAUUAUGUUAUUGAUUGAAUUGAUUUUUCACAUCUUUACCAAAUCUUAUGCAUUUACCAAUCUGUUUCCUCCCUCUUUUUUUUUAAUCAAAGAACUAAUUUGAAGUUGCUGCCUGUCCUCAAUAGUGACUGCCCAUACACCAUCUCAAAGUUAGUUUGAGAUCAUGUUCAUAGUUUCUAAUGGCCUUAAAAUGUUCUGUGAUCAUGCCGGGAUCAUUGGAAUAAAUUGUAAUGCUAUAGUAGGCCUAGAUGAAGACAUAUUUCUGAAAAUUAUACUAUAGAUUGAAUCGAUUUUUUCAUAUCUUUUAAUUUCCAUUUGAAGAAUACAUAUGAUCAAUAUGUAAAUGCUAUAAUCGCUUCAUACUGAAGAGAAUAACAAAACAAAUAAAGAUAAAAAAUCAUUAACCACAACUAUCUACUCUUUUUAAGAAGCUAAUUCAAUCUUUAUAAAUGAGUUCACUUUUUUUAAAAACCAUUUUAGAGUUUUUAGAUCCCCACACUUGCAGAUGAGUUGUGUGAACACCAAAUCAUUGGCUGGUUUGAGGAAUCCAUAUAUCGAUGUCUUGCAAAUCUUUGAGAUAUUAUUUACAGAAAGAGAGAAGAGUCGAGAAAUUUUCACCUUUUAUCAUGAUAAGAAUAUGAAGCGAGAAAAUAAAUGACCAUUGAAAAUCUGAGAGUAAAACAUGAUGAGAGAAUAAUGCAAUAUUUUACUCAUUUUGCAACUUCGUAUUCACUAAAAAUUAAAAAUGUAGCUACAUUCUUUUAAACAAUAAAUAUUAUGGGAAACUUUAUGUUUUUCAUUUGCAAAUCAUUCUUUUAAGUUUUGACAAUGUACAACAGUUUCAUUAGUAGUUGACUUUAUUUUCUUUUCCUUUUUGAUUGUGGCUACUGAAUUUUUUUUUUCCAUAACAGAAAAUGCAUAUUUUAGUAUUUGAUUGUUUUGAGUUGAACAAAUGAUCACAACCAACCAUGAUUGCAUAUAUAUAUAUAUUCAUAGGCUGUUUUC